rnacentral:rRNA from 1 species
CCUACGGGAGGCAGCAGUGGGGAAUAUUGGACAAUGGGCGAAAGCCUGAUCCAGCAAUUCCGCGUGUGUGAAGAAGGCCUUCGGGUUGUAAAGCACUUUAGUGGGGGAAGAAACAGCUUGGCCACACCAAGCCUUGACGGUACCCCAAGAAUAAGCACCGGCUAACUCUGUGCCAGCAGCCGCGGUAAUACAGAGGGUGCAAGCGUUAAUCGGAUUUACUGGGCGUAAAGGGUGCGUAGGUGGCUAUUUAAGUCGGAUGUGAAAGCCCGGGGCUCAACCUCGGAAUUGCAUUCGAUACUGAGUGGCUAGAGUUCGGUAGAGGGCGGCGGAAUUUCCGGUGUAGCGGUGAAAUGCGUAGAUAUCGGAAGGAACAUCAAUGGCGAAGGCAGCCGCCUGGGCCUGGACUGACACUGAGGCACGAAAGCGUGGGUAGCAAACAGGAUUAGAUACCCUGGUAGUCCACGCCGUAAACGAUGAGAACUUGACGUUGGUUCGUUUUACGAAUCGGUGUCGCNGNUACGACGAUAGUUACUCCGUCCGUCGGGUAGGUACGGCCGGCCGAGGUUAGGUAAACGUUAAACGGUAAAGUUAGUACGGUUCGUUGUAGACGUUGCCGACGGACGACGACGAGGGAGGAGG